AGCGUAGAGAAGAUUCUAUAGAUGGGGAGAAGGAAGCAGAGGAUAAGACUGAAGAGGGAGUUGAGCAUAGAGAGGAUUCUGUAGAUGGAGAGAAGGAAAGGGAAGUGAGAAAUGAGAACGUCAGUGAAGGGAUGGAGAGGGAGGGUACAAGGGAUAAUGUUAAUGAUGACAGAGAGAAGGGAGAGAUCAGGGAGAAUUAUAGUGAGGAUAAGGAGACUGAAGAGAGCAAAAGGAGUGAUGGUGAGGAUAAGGAGAAUGUAGAGGGAAAAGAGAUUGAAAUUGAAGAGAGCAAAGAAAGUGAAAGCAUAAACAGAGAGACUGAAGAAAGCAAGGAGAAUGAAGAGGGCAAAGAAGGUGAAAGCGAGCACAGAGAGAGAGAGAGGAAGGAGAGUGAAGAGAGCAAAGAAAGUGAAAGCGAACACAGAGGGAGUGAAGACAGCAAGGAGAAUGAAGAGAGCAAAGAAAGUGAAAGCGAGCACAGAGAAAGUGAAGAGAGGAAGGUGAAUGAAGAGAGCAAAGAAAGUGAAAGCGAACACAGAGAGAGUGAAGACAGCAAGGAGAAUGAAGAGAGAAAAGAAAGUGAAAGUGAGCACAGAGAGACUGAAGACAGCAAGGAGCACGAAAUGAGCGAAGAGACUGCAAAUGAGAAUAAAGAAAAUGCAAGUGAAGAAAAG
rnacentral:lncRNA from 1 species